rfam:Laetiporus sulphureus 93-53 unplaced genomic scaffold LAESTscaffold_20, whole genome shotgun sequence.
UUACCACUCUGGCCUUUUGGCUUAGAUCAAGUGUAGUAUCUGUUCUUAAUAGUUUAACCACUAUUAUGGAGGCACCGCCUCUAUUAUUGGUUAUCUAAUUUUUGCCGCCCCUGCUCCUCGGGCUCUGCUUGCAACCUGGGGACGUGAUGACCUUGCUACUGCAGUACCGGCUUGUGUCGUCGGGGGAUC